AACGAACGCUGGCGGCAUGCCUAACACAUGCAAGUCGAACGAGACCUUCGGGUCUAGUGGCGCACGGGUGCGUAACGCGUGGGAACCUGCCCUUAGGUUCGGAAUAACUCCCCGAAAGGGGUGCUAAUACCGGAUAAUGUCUUCGGACCAAAGAUUUAUCGCGUUUGGAUGGGCCCGCGUUGGAUUAGCUAGUUGGUAGGGUAAAAGCCUACCAAGGCGACGAUCCAUAGCUGGUCUGAGAGGAUGAUCAGCCACACUGGGACUGAGACACGGCCCAGACUCCUACGGGAGGCAGCAGUGGGGAAUAUUGGACAAUGGGCGAAAGCCUGAUCCAGCAAUGCCGCGUGAGUGAUGAAGGCCUUAGGGUUGUAAAGCUCUUUUACCCGGGAUGAUAAUGACAGUACCGGGAGAAUAAGCUCCGGCUAACUCCGUG
rnacentral:rRNA from 1 species